rnacentral:tRNA from 1 species
GCAGAAGUACCCAAGUGGCCGAAGGGGCUCCCCUGCUAAGGGAGUAGGCGGGUGAAACCGCGCGAGGGUUCAAAUCCCUCCUUCUGCGCCA